rnacentral:rRNA from 1 species
CNGGGUUGCAUGCCCGCACCCCGNGGUUGGUUCGUUGCACCAAUUCAUGGUGUGCGGCCUCCCUGGUGUCGUGGUUGUGUGANCUUNCUCCCGAANCUGUUUUUCAGGUGCUGGUUAUUUUUAACUGGCAUGCUCUCGGAUGCCUUUAAUUGGGUGUCUGGAGCAGACGGCACGUUUACUUUGAACAAAUUUGAGUGCUCAAAGCAGGCUUGAUGCCUGAAAAGUCUUGCAUGGAAUAAUGGAAUAGGACUUCGGUUCUAUUUNGUUGUUUUCGGAUCCGANCCAAU